rnacentral:SRP_RNA from 1 species
GCCGGGUGCGGUGGCGCGCGCCUGUAAUCCAAGUUACCGGGAGGCUGAGGCUGGCGGAUCGUUUGAGCUCAGGAGCUCUGAGCUGCAGCGGACUAUGUCGAUCGGGUGUCCGCACUAAGUUCGGUAUCGAUAUGGUGCUCCUGGGGGAGCCCGGGACCACCAGGUCGUCUAAGGAGGGGUGCACCGGCCCAGGUCGGAAACGAAGCAGGUCAAAGCCCCCGUGCCGCUCAGUAGUGGGAUCGCGCCUGUGAAUAGACGCUGUAGUGCAGCCUGAGUAAUACAGCGGGACCCAGUCUUUU